GACGUAGGAGGCGAGCGUUGUCCGGAUUCAUUGGGCGUAAAGAGCACGCAGGCGGUUUGGCAAGUCGGAUGUGAAAACCUGGGGCUUAACCCCGGGCCUGCAGUGGGUACGGGCAGACUAGAGUGCGGUAGGGGAGACUGGAAUUCCUGGUGUAGCGGUGAAAUGCGCAGAUAUCAGGAGGAACACCGGUGGCGAAGGCGGGUCUCUGGGCCGUAACUGACGCUGAGGAGCGAAAGCAUGGGGAGCGAACAGG
rnacentral:rRNA from 1 species